rnacentral:rRNA from 1 species
UGGGGAAUAUUGCACAAUGGGCGCAAGCCUGAUGCAGCAACGCCGCGUGAACGAAGAAGGUCUUCGGAUUGUAAAGUUCUGUCCUUAGGGAAGAAGGAAGUGACGGUACCUAAGGAGGAAGCCCCGGCUAACUACGUGCCAGCAGCCGCGGUAAUACGUAGGGGGCAAGCGUUAUCCGGAAUGAUUGGGCGUAAAGAGUACGUAGGUGGUUUCGUAAGCGCAGGGUGAAAGGGCAGUGGCUUAACCAUUGUAAGCCUUGCGAACUGCGAGACUUGAGUGCAGGAGAGGAAAGCGGAAUUCCUAGUGUAGCGGUGAAAUGCUUAGAUAUUAGGAGGAACACCAGUGGCGAAGGCGGCUUUCUGGACUGUAACUGACACUGAGGUACGAAAGCGUGGGGAGCAAACAGGAUUAGAUACCC